rnacentral:rRNA from 1 species
AAUAAAUAUUAGUGUAAAUGACUCCUAUAGCUUAUUGUAGUGAAAUUAUGUUAUAAAUAGUAAAGUGAUUGAAAUUAAUAAUUACUAGUGGAAUAGCAGAAAUGGAUAAGUGAUAAUUUUAAAUAAGUAGCGACCAAUCGCGUACCUUUUGUAUCAGGGAAAAGGGACAUCCUGUUUGCAUAAGCACUUCCCGAAGAAGGGGGAUCUUGUUACUCAAUUGGCCAAGUGUUUCAUUACCUCCCUUAAUGGGUAGCAAGUUGUGAAAAGUAAUUCGUUCCCUUUGAUAUCUGGUUACCAAUUAGCUCCCUAUAGGGGAGAGGAAGCUGGGGGGAUUAGCUCUCAGUGCCUAGCCUAUAAUUUAUGCUUAUCUUAUUAUAACUUAGUAGUUUAAUUGGAUUUAUUAUAAUCUAUGGCUAUCCAGGCGGUGACUAUUUAUAAUUAGUAAUUAUUAGGUCAAAAUCCUCUUAUUAGUAAGAAUUAAUAAUAUAGUUAAGGAACUCGGCAACGAUGGGUCUGGACUGUUUAUUAAAAACAUUGCCUUUUGAUAAAAUUUAAGGUACGGCCUGCACACUGCCUAAGGUAAAGUGCUGCGGUAUCCUGACUGUGCUAAGGUAGCAUAAUAACUUGCCUCUUUAUUGGGGGCUAGAAUGAAUGGUUAAACUAGGGCCCAACUGUCUCGUCUAUAUCAUUCUUAAUUUAAAUUUUAAGUGAAAAUGCUUAAAUGAUUCAGAGGGACGAGAAGACCCUAUAGAUCUUGAGUUACAUCCGUUAAAAGGUAAUGGUAUUAACUUUACCUGGGAAGGGGCUUUCAAACACUUUAUAAUUAAAGGAACAUUGUCCUAAUUUGAUGAUCCAGUUUAACUGAAUGUAGAAUAAGUUACCUUAGGGAUAACAGCGUGAUAAGCCUCCCUCAGACCUUAUGGGGAGAGGUGGAUUACGACCUCGAUGUUGAAUUAAGUUUACUCUUCUUAGAAGAAGAAGGAGAGUUCAGUCUGUUCGACUGUCUAUACUUACAUGAUUUGAGUUUAGACCGACGUGAGUCAGGUCAGAUUCUAUCUUCUGACAAAGAAUUUUUCCUAGUACGAAAGGACUGGAAAGAUGGAUAAAGUAUCCUAUA